rnacentral:lncRNA from 1 species
CAAAGUCUAUUACAUAUCGUAGUGCGUUUUCAUAGGAAAUGCAACAAUGAUAUACCAAAAGGAUAAAGGUUUAAUACAUUAUGCCAACAAACGUCACGACUAAUUACUUUGGAUCCGGAUGCUAUUGCUCUCUUACAGGACUGGACCAAAUCGUUUAGGCCAAGAACAACAUUGGAUAAAACUUAACAGACUGAUCCAUUCCACUUACUAUUGAUCUUCUUCACACUAUAUGAAAACUCUAAACCAAACCAUUUGUUGCAACAACAUGCAAAUUCUGUACUGCAGACAAUUAACAGAGUGUUUAAGCAUGUAAAGGUAACUGACUCCAAUAUCAACAAUUCUGUGCACCACCAUACUAAACCAAAUCAUUCAUUCCACCAGUAACAACUCUGCACAUGAGACCAGAAGGAAUUAACCCAGUGCCUGAACACUUAAUCAUGGACGCAAAUUACUUAAGCUGCAUCAGCCUGUGAGCCCACUCCCUAGUGCACAAAACAUCGAACAGAUUGCGGGGCUCAAGGACCAACCUGUUAGGCUGUUACAUAGUGUGUCUGCGUGAGCCCAAGCAUACAGAGGAGGAGGGAGGUGACCCACGAGCUUCCUGCACUCCUCCUACCGAGUGCCAAGGGGGUAGGGAGGAGACGCUGGGCAGCGUGAGGUCGAGGAUGGGGGUCAGGGCGACGGCGGUGGCACGGCGACAGGGGGUGUGCGGCAGGUCGCGGGGAAGGGCGCUCAUCCUCCUGCCAGGUCCGAUGGGGAAGAGGGAGCCAACCCAUGAGCUGGCCACCAGAAAUAAUGAGAGGAAAACUUUAAAAAAAUCAAUGAAAGAACAAUCACAUGGAGAAGCAAUCCAAACAUUCCAAUAUCGCGUUCCAGUAAAACAUGGACAUGAUCCAUCAAAGAGCGACAGAGGGAGUAAGAAUUAGGAUGUUACAUAAAUAGCACAGAAAUGUAGCAAGUACAAAAGAUAGUACAGAAUGAUCGUGAUGCAAGAGAGUGCACUGAAAUUUAACCUUCACUCUCGGCAACGCAUAUCGGAUCGUCGUUCGUCGACCCUUUCAUGAUGUGGUUGCUACCAGUGCUCUGAGAAACAAAAUUGCGUUAAAAUAAUCCGGCAAAACAUACGAUGACUGGGAAUAGUAAAGGUGAGAUCAUAUAAAAGGUCAAAUACAACUCAUAUACUGUGACUCUGUACAUCAAGUAACAAUCUUAUUGUCACUACUCUAUUCACGAAAAAAUGGUAGUAAACAUAUUGUUAGUCCAGUGUACUUCUGUGUAGUUACAAUCUCUGCUCCUUCAAAGGAUUUAGUGUCUAUCCUAUUUUUAUGUUUAGUUAUAGGCACGUCCAUACACUUCGUAGGAACAGGGGCACAAGCGUAGCUUAGAAGUGGAAUAAGUAAUGUACUCCUCUCGCUCGCUCGCUCAAAUUCAAUGUCAUAAGAACAUGCACAGAGGUUAAAUUAAGAAGUCCAAGACAAAUUCAAUGUAGAAUCCAUAUUUUUAGAAUGGCCAACGAUUAUGUGUAAGACAAUGCAUGAUAUUUUGUACCACAAAGUAAUCUUAUAAUGUUGCAGGAGGCUAUAUUCAAGUUUUACCUUCUAUACCUCAAUGUGAAGUGCAAACCUGAAGCAUCAUCUGACCAUGGCGACUAACGGAGCGACAAACUAAUUAAUUGAGGCAUUUUC